rnacentral:pre_miRNA from 1 species
AACAAACUGCAGGCUGCCUAGCCCCAGGAUGGGCUGGGUAAGUCUCUCUUUGAGAGGUUCACCCUCAAGUAACACUAGGAGC